UCGGACCGCCUUGAAUUAUAA
rnacentral:siRNA from 1 species